rnacentral:rRNA from 1 species
UACGAAGGGUGCAAGCGUUAAUCGGAAUUACUGGGCGUAAAGCGCGCGUAGGUGGUUCGUUAAGUUGGAUGUGAAAGCCCCGGGCUCAACCUGGGAACUGCAUCCAAAACUGGCGAGCUAGAGUACGGUAGAGGGUGGUGGAAUUUCCUGUGUCGCGGUGAAAUGCGUAGAUAUAGGAAGGAACACCAGUGGCGAAGGCGACCACCUGGACUGAUACUGACACUGAGGUGCGAAAGCGUGGGGAGCAAACAGG